UAGGGAAUCUUCGGCAAUGGGGGAACCCUGACCGAGCAACGCCGCGUGAGUGAAGAAGGUUUUCGGAUCGUAAAGCUCUGUUGUUAAGGAAGAACGAGUGUGAGAAUGGAAAGUUCAUACUGUGACGGUACUUAACCAGAAAGGGACGGCUAACUACGUGCCAGCAGCCGCGGUAAUACGUAGGUCCCGAGCGUUGUCCGGAUUUAUUGGGCGUAAAGCGAGCGCAGGCGGUUAGAUAAGUCUGAAGUUAAAGGCAGUGGCUCAACCAUUGUAGGCUUUGGAAACUGUUUAACUUGAGUGCAGAAGGGGAGAGUGGAAUUCCAUGUGUAGCGGUGAAAUGCGUAGAUAUAUGGAGGAACACCGGUGGCGAAAAGCGGCUCUCUGGUCUGUAACUGACGCUGAGGCUCGAAAGCGUGGGGAGCGAACAGGAUUAGAUACCCUGGUAGUCCACGCCGUAAACGAUGAGUGCUAGGUGUUAGGUCCUUUCCGGGACUUAGUGCCGCAGCUAACGCAUUAAGCACUCCGCCUGGGGAGUACGACCGCAAGGUUGAAACUCAAAGGAAUU
rnacentral:rRNA from 1 species